rnacentral:rRNA from 1 species
AUUGAACGCUGGCGGCAUGCUUUACACAUGCAAGUCGAACGGCAGCGCGGGCUUCGGCCUGGCGGCGAGUGGCGAACGGGUGAGUAAUGCAUCGGAACGUGCCCAGUAGUGGGGGAUAGCCCGGCGAAAGCCGGAUUAAUACCGCAUACGACCUGAGGGUGAAAGCGGGGGAUCGAAAGGCCUCGCGCUAUUGGAGCGGCCGAUGUCGGAUUAGCUAGCUGGUGGGGUAAAGGCUUACCAAGGCGACGAUCCGUAGCUGGUCUGAGAGGACGACCAGCCACACUGGGACUGAGACACGGCCCAGACUCCUACGGGAGGCAGCAGUGGGGAAUUUUGGACAAUGGGGGCAACCCUGAUCCAGCCAUGCCGCGUGCGGGAAGAAGGCCUUCGGGUUGUAAACCGCUUUUGUUCGGGAAGAAAUCCUCUGGGCUAAUACCCCGGGGGGAUGACGGUACCGGAAGAAUAAGCACCGGCUAACUACGUG